rnacentral:rRNA from 1 species
UUUUGGACAAUGGGGGAAACCCUGAUCCAGCCAUUCCGCGUGUGCGAUGAAGGCCUUCGGGUUGUAAAGCACUUUUGGCAGGCCAGACAUCGCACGUGUUAAUAACGCGUGUGGAUGACGGUACCUGCAGAAUAAGCACCGGCUAACUACGUGCCAGCAGCCGCGGUAAUACGUAGGGUGCAAGCGUUAAUCGGAAUUACUGGGCGUAAAGCGUGCGCAGGCGGUUCGGAAAGAAGGAUGUGAAAUCCCAGGGCUUAACCUUGGAACUGCAUUCUUAACUACCGGGCUAGAGUAUGUCAGAGGGAGGUGGAAUUCCGCGUGUAGCAGUGAAAUGCGUAGAUAUGCGGAGGAACACCGAUGGCGAAGGCAGCCUCCUGGGAGUGAUACUGACGCUCAUGCACGAAA